rnacentral:misc_RNA from 1 species
GAAAAAAAAAAAAUGAUGUGCAAAGAUGCCAUUACCUCAGAAAAAUGGCAAUGGGGAUAAAAUGAAAUUGUACUUGGGUGCUUCAGAGAACCACUUCAAUGAGUUUUCUCAAACUCGAAACUCAUACCUAUGUUGCCCUAGGCAAUGUCCUCGCUCUUAUUGGUGAUGUCUUGUCUAUAGUUACUAUGCCUAAUUACUCAUCUAACUUGUCCAUACAUCACAUGAGUAAAACAUAAUUGGAAGAGAUUUCACAUCCAAAUAGCAUGAAGAAGUACAACAUAAUGUGACUAAAAAGACAAGCAGGCAAGUUACUAUUAUUGGCACAGCUCAAUCUUAGUUCUUAGAUCACCAUAAAACAUAUUAGCAUCUGAGGAAGAAUGACCAGGGUUUGAAAAAAGUAGGAACAAUUCAACAGAGGAUACAUA